rnacentral:rRNA from 1 species
GGCGGCAGGCCUAACACAUGCAAGUCGAACGGCAGCACAGAGGAGCUUGCUCCUUGGGUGGCGAGUGGCGGACGGGUGAGGAAUGCGUCGAAUCUGCCUUUUUGUGGGGGAUAACGUAGGGAAACUUACGCUAAUACCGCAUACGACCUACGGGUGAAAGUGGGGGACCGCAAGGCCUCACGCAGAUAGAUGAGCCGACGCCGGAUUAGCUAGUUGGCGGGGUAAAGGCCCACCAAGGCGACGAUCCGUAGCUGGUCUGAGAGGAUGAUCAGCCACACUGGGACUGAGACACGGCCCAGACUCCUACGGGAGGCAGCAGUGGGGAAUAUUGGACAAUGGGCGCAAGCCUGAUCCAGCCAUGCCGCGUGUGUGAAGAAGGCCUUCGGGUUGUAAAGCACUUUUGUCCGGAAAGAAAUCCAAUCGAUUAAUACUCGGUUGGGAUGACGGUACCGGAAGAGUAAGCACCGGCUAACUUCGUGCCAGCAGCCGCGGUAAUACGAAGGGUGCAAGCGUUACUCGGAAUUACUGGGCGUAAAGCGUGCGUAGGUGGUUGGUUAAGUCUGAUGUGAAAGCCCUGGCUCAACCUGGGAACUGCAUUGGAUACUGGCUUACUAG